rnacentral:rRNA from 1 species
AAAAGGGACCCCGGGGCGUGACAGAUUAAAGUGGUAUCAGAACUCCGCAGUUAAGCGUGCUUGGGCGAGAGUAGUACUAGGAUGGGUGACCCCCUGGGAAGUCCUCGUGUUGCAUAAU